GCGGAGGACGGAGAGCGGAGGGCUUUGACUGCGCCUGCGCAGAAUUUGUCUUCGCUUCCUUCUGUUUUCACAGCCGCAGACUCUUGCAAUGCCUGUGUUUUCUCUGGUUGCGACCUUGUGGGCGCUCUGAUUCCACAUAUAAGCGACAUCAAAAUGUUUUAGUGGAAGUAUCUCUACUCCAGGAGGAGCUGGAUUCCUGCCCAACAGGACGUUUUCAUUUGAUGAGCUCUUAACAGGACAAUGCAAGGAACAAGUUUCCUGAAGUUAAUACAUGAUCCAAGACAAGUCCUGACCAAGGGAAAUGGUCAGGAUCCGUACCUGCUAAAGAGGAACAGCCGUGAAUCAACAGCAUAAACCCAGAAGACGAUUCAUCCCAGCCUCUUUCCAGUUUGGAAAUCAUUCUUUACAUCAUGGACUAUUUUUCCCCCAAUUUAGGGGAAUUUGCCUUAUUUCAAAUUUUGCCCAUAGAAUGAAACUUAAUUACCAUGUUUUAAAUCACAACAUUUAUAGUUCACAAAAUUCGGAUUUACGUGAAUUGUGUCCUUGGGGCGCAGGGAGAGGCGUGCCUUGCUCUGCCCUGGAUCAGGUAACCACUCAGUGUCCCAUCCAACAGACAAUACGCAAUGGCUUCUUCUCUCAGUUAUUACCAAAAAAAAUUGUUUUAACAUAAUGAUUAAAGCUUUGCACUACACAUGGAGAGGCAGUCCAGUGGUUGAGAAAUGCUGAAUCAGUCAGGACAAGGGACAGGGCAACCCACAGGUCAGACAUUCCUUUCACUCCUAACCUCAUAUGUAAAUAGCACUCAUGUUCUAAGCACCCCUGUUAUUCAGAAACCACCAGAUUGGGAAGGGACCUUAGGAGUUGUCAGGGCUGGCCCCCUGGGCUGUGCAGGGGUCUCCUUAGUGAAAUUCUUAAUAGCCAGCUAUUAGAAGCACCCCCUUGGAGUAGAAAGCCCCUCUUCCAGGAUCCAGGUAGUUGGAGGUUUUUUGGGGGUUUUUUGUAACAGCUCUGGCUAUAUAAACUUCAUGCAUACACUGAAAAAAGUGGUCAGAUGUUCACUCUGCCAUGACCUGAAUAGGAUAUAGAAUACAAAGCAACAUUCUCUCCCCAAGACAAGGAUGAAUUUUGAUGCAGGCUUAGCUACUUAUGUUUUUCCAUGCCUCAUAACCAAUUUCAGCAUUAGUUGCCUCAUCUUAAAAAAAAAAAUAAAUGGUUGGGGGAGGAGAGGGAAUGAGAAUACAGAGCUUACUGAGUUGUUUUGAAGACCUGAGAGGAGAAAGAACCCUCUGGAUGCUAAGUGCUGCAUGCAUGCUGGUCUAUUUGUCUCGAUUCAGAGUGCCUAUUUCUUUAAAACAGGCAGGGGCUGCUUUCCAAGUGCCCAGCCAGCUCUUGCCUUCACAAAGAUGCAUUGGCAAUUACUCAGAGCCCUGUUGUCUUCUAGGCAUUUAGAAAUUGAUUUGUCCCUGUGUUUCCAGGUGGAGAAGGUAAGCAGCUGAAUAAUGAUCCAUGGAUGAGGGCUGAGAGUCCAGGGUGGGCUCUGUAUCUGGAGGAAGAGGUGUGGGGCUUGGGAAGAGGUGACCCAGAGUCCCAGGGGAGAGCAGAGGCUGUACGCAUGGUGUCCACAAACUUCAAAUAGACACCAAAACCAGAGAGGAUGGGACAGAAAGAGCACUUGAUUUGGAGUAACGCAGACAGGGGUAUAAAUUCUAGCUCUGGCACUUACCAGCACUUACCUCAGAGAAGUCACAUCAUCUCUUUGAUUCCCACACUUUCAUUUCUAUAAAAUGGGAAUAAUAAUAAUAUCUUCCUUGCAGUAUAAAGUAGUGUUUAAGUAUUUAGCAUCUGGAGCUAGACUGCAACUUAUGAGCUAUAUGACCUUUGGAAACUUGUUUUGUAAAACGGAUUUGUGGAGGUAUGAUUGACAUAAUAUAAACUGCACACGUUCAAAGCAUACAAUUUUAUAAGUUUCUAUGAAACCAUCACCACCACCAAGAUAAUGAACACAUCCAUCACCUCCAAAAGUUUCCUCCUGCCCCUCCCACCCCUCCCAGUUACCCUUGCUCCCAGAAAACCACUGAUCUGCUUUCUGUCAUAAUAGAUUGAUUUGCAUUUUCUGUGUUUAGUGUUGGAUCGUUUCUGUUGCUACGUCAUCAAGUUCGCUGAUCUUUGAUGUUUAACAAGCCAUGCGUGUCAUCUGAUACAUUGUUACUCUCUAAUUAUAGUUUUCAUCUCUAGAACUUCAGUUCGGGCAUUUUGUUUUUUAAAGUACCUUCCUUGUAUCUACUUAACAUGUCUCAUCUCUCCUCCAGCUUCUAGAACGUAUGGAAUAAAGUUAUAAUGACUGUUUUAACAUCCUUAUCUACUAAUUCUAUCA